rnacentral:rRNA from 1 species
AACGAACGCUGGCGGCAGGCCUAACACAUGCAAGUCGAACGCCGUAGCAAUACGGAGUGGCAGACGGGUGAGUAACACGUGGGAACAUGCCCUUUGGUACGGAACAACUCCGGGAAACUGGAGCUAAUACCGUAUGUGCCCGAGAGGGGAAAGAUUUAUCGCCAAAGGAUUGGCCCGCGUCGGAUUAGCUAGUUGGUGAGGUAAUGGCUCACCAAGGCGACGAUCCGUAGCUGGUCUGAGAGGAUGACCAGCCACACUGGGACUGAGACACGGCCCAGACUCCUACGGGAGGCAGCAGUGGGGAAUAUUGGACAAUGGGCGCAAGCCUGAUCCAGCCAUGCCGCGUGAGUGAUGAAGGCCUUAGGGUUGUAAAGCUCUUUUAGCAGGGAAGAAGCGAAAGUGACGGUACCUGCAGAAAAAGCACCGGCUAACUACGUGCCAGCAGCCGCCGUAACAC